ensembl:miRNA
AACAACCUUGUCUUCUUGCUUCUUAAAUGGUUAUGUCCUUUGCCUAUUCUAUUUAAGACACCCUGUACCUUAAAUAGAGUAGGCAAAGGACAGAAACAUUUUAAGUUCUCUA